GAUGACUGGACAUGCUUGACAUUAGGUCCUUUCAAACAAGUGGUUAAUUAGGGAGACACAGAUGAGGAGUAUCACUUGCAUUAUGAGGGAUGACCAGCUAUGACAUUUUGUGCAUGCAUCUGCCUCAGUGUUGAGGACCACAGCGGCUGGAGAAGGCCAAGAGCAUGCCCAUGUAUCACCUGGGUGCAGCAGAUAGAUUGCUCCUUUAAGGAGAUGGAACCAGGUGUCUGGCUGGACGGUUGUCAUCCAGGACCAAGGGUGGCUUUGUAGUGUGAUGGAAGCAGCGCCGUGUAACAGCUCUGACCUGAUCACAUAACUCCUGUGAUGGAGGUAAAUAACAUUUUUAAAUAUACAGAAAUAAAAUCAGUCACUGUGCAGUUGUGUUUGUAUUUGCGCUUGCUGCGUGACACACUGGCGAUAUUCUCAAUUGUACAACACGGUCAUUUAUGACGGGUCAUUAAUGAUGCUUGCACGUCAAGUGUAGUGUUUAUGCUCCGUCUCACAGAACAGACAGCCGAUCACUGAGGCCAAAUUAGAUUUAGUUUCAUUUCUGAAUUUCCCUCUGGGCUUCAUGAUUCUGUUAUCUGACAAGUACAAGUGCAGCUGUGUAUCUCGUAGCACAGAUAUUGUAUUAAAGCAAGUGUUAGCAUCUGAACAGACUGAGCAGGUCAACAGAAACAGCAACAACAACAAAAAGAUGCAUUAAAAAUAGCACACAGUAUUAAAUAUGCAACCUGCUGUGUCUCCACGUGUGCAGCCAAAGGUUCGGGUGUGCAUGCAGGUUUUAUGCUUUCAUUGUUUUGUGUCAUUAUUAUCUGUCUGUCUCUCUCUUUCUGCGCACUGUAGAUUAGUUUGGUUGUGUGAAGCAUCCAGCUGUGUCGUCACAAGAAGUGUUCUAAUCACGGUAGUGCAUUCUUGUAAUUGGCAAACCUCUCCGCUACAGGUUCAUAUAGCAUGUUUCAUGUCACUCCAGCUGCAGGUUGCAGUUCUGACGGAGCAACGCCAUAAAUCCUUUAAUCAAUUUUAUGAUGGUAUGAUUGCUGUACACACAGGAUGAAGCAGUAAUGCCGGCCUCUCAGGUUCACGAGACUCCCGGGCUUCAUAUUUUCUCUCUAUUCUCAUCCUAUUACAGAUUCUGACCCUCCCCCUCCAUCCCCACUUUCUGCUGUAGCCUCCCUGCCAGCCACCCCCCCACCCCGUCUCUCUUUUCUCUCUCACACUGAACUCACUGCACCCUUAUUCACUCCCUCAUUCUAUCUCACACACGUUCACACACACACACACACACACACACACACUUGCACAUAGCUCACAGACUUGGAAGAGAGGGGUGGGGUGGGGGGGAGGGUUACCGGGGUAGGAGAGAUGCUUGAAAACCACGAGACGAAAAGAGAGAUGGAAGGAUGGCGACUAGAGUGUAAAGGAGGGAGACAGAAAAGGAAGAAAAAAAAAGAUUUUGAAGUAUGCACACGUGAAGCUCUCCAGAAGCAAGAGACAGGCAACCAGAGGAUGAGACGGUGAAAGCAACUCGGAGGGUUUGUGUCCAUCUGCAAGAAGCCCUGCAGAAACAAAAGUGGGCUUGCUGUCUGGCCCCAGCACAGACCGUCAGAGAGCGCGCUGCUUCACAACAGAGGGAACGCAUGCUGGCACUGAUUUA